GGAAAGUUGGGGCUUACUGCAGGGCAAGCUCCUUAGGAGAAGGUGGGGAGGAGGAAGGAGGGAGGUCCAGGCCCUUCUUCCAUCCCACGUCCUCCACUUCCCAAGGUGCAAGAAGAAAAGAGGUACAGAACACCCAGAGGUGCCCUCGAUUCCGUCUUGCACUUGCCCUUCUCCCACCGUCCAGCAAUAAAGCGAGAGAAACAAGUGCAGGAAACUGGCCGGCAGUCAUGGGAGAAGCCAAAAAGACAGCCUUGGGGAGCCGGCGGGAUCCAGAGCGGGGCUCCUCUCCGCACUUUGUAGCUGCGUUGCUCCGCUCCAUGCCCUGCCUCAGCCACUCCUCCUGGUUACCAGGCAAAAGGAAACACCUUGAGCUGGCCAGGAGCUACCAGCGUCUGUCUACACCUGGGAGUUCAGUGGCAUGACCAGGGCUCACUGCAACCUUGAUCUGGGCUCAAGUGAUCCUCCUACCUCAGCUUCCUGAGUAGCUAGGACCACAGGUGUGCACCAACCACACCCGACUAAUUUUUGUAGAGAUGAGAUCCCACUAUGUUACCCAGGCUGGUCUUGAACUCCUGGGCUCAGGUGAUCAUCCUGCCUUGGCUUCCCAAAGUACUGGGAUUAUAGGCUUGAGCCACCGUGCCUGGCCUGUGAUCAGAAUUCUCAUUUUUUUAGUCACUAAAAAUGCUGGGGGGCACUCCAUUCUCCAUUAUGUGAUUAGUUCACAUUGCAUGCUUGUAUCAAAACAUCAUAUAUACCCCACAAAUAUAUACAAAAAACUUUAAAAUUUUAAGUAUUAAUUGCUCAGGAAAAAAUUAAAAUGCUGGGGUGCUGAAAUCUCAAGGGCCCCAUUACAAAACUCCUUAGGAACCUCGCCCUCUCUCUGCUGUAAGGACUGGUUCCAGAAUGAGAGAAUUUAAAAGACAUUCCCCCCCCAAAAUGUUCAUAAUGUCACCCCGGAAACCUGCGAAUAUGUUAUAUUACAUGACCAGGGAGAAGUAAGGUUGCAGAUGGCAGUAAGGUUGCUAAUGGGCUGACCUUAAGAUAAGGAGAUGAUCCUGGAUUAUCUGGGUGGACCCAAUGUAAUCACAAGGGUCCUUAACUGUGGAAUAGUGAGGUGGCUGAGUCAGAGGCAGAGUGAUGCAAUGACUGAAAGACUUAACCAGCCAUCACCGGCUUUGAAUACGGAAGACGGUCAUGAGCCAGGGAAUGCAGGCAGGCUCUGGGAGCUGAAAAAAGCAAGAAAAUGGAUUCUCCCCUGGAGCCUCCAGAAGGGAUGCGGUCCUGCCAACCCCUUGUCAGUGAGCCAUUUCAGAUUUCUGACUUCCAGGACUGUAAGAAAAUAAACUUGUCUUGUUUUCAGCCACC
rnacentral:lncRNA from 1 species